UUGCGUUUUCUGAAUCCUAAUUUUCUCUGAUGUUGUUUGUUUCUUAUGUUUUAAAGGGUGGAUCAUCCUCCUCCGACACCUAUUAUGAUAGUCAGGAUUCACAGGAUUUCUCAGAUGAUAAUCCCAAUGCCUGUGAUGAUAAUGACACUACAUACAGCGCUAAUAGUCGGAGUUCUGGCUGUGUGAAGAGGAAAGUUGUUGUCAGAGAUACUUCACAUGUUUUAAGCAAACGAGACUAUGAUGUCCAGAAUGAGUCCUCUACUUCAAAUAACAGCCAUACUAACUACCAGGGUGGAUCAUUCAUUGCAGCUGGUGGUGGAUCAAGUGGUCAGGGUGGUUGCAUUUGUCCUGAUGGAAGCAGCGGUGUUAGACAGGUGAUUCUUUUUCCUUAAUUUAUAUUUAACUCUAGAUAACAGAAUAUUUUGAAUGAAUCACCUUGUAAG
rnacentral:lncRNA from 1 species